ACACUGGUGAGGAUCCCAAGAUGCUGGCCAAUUUCAAACAUCUGCUUGAUAGAAUUUUUGUGCUCGAUCCAGAGAAAAGAUUGACAGUAUCUCAAGCACUGAGUCAUCCAUUCAUUACGGGCAAGUGAAUAAAGAUGCUGAUAUUUCUGAUCCAGAACUGCUGUUGAGUAAGCUAUGCAUUUGAAUCUUUUAUUUAGCCAUCUAAUCAUUGGGCAUUUGCUUGUCUCUAUCUUUGUCACUUGGACCAAGUGCAAGCAAUGCAGACUUCUUGGUGAUCGUGAGCUUAACACAGCCACUCUGGAGAGCUCUCUUACUUGGCGAGUCUUUUCAGUCUAAUAUAUUCUAUUUCUAUUGGCUUAUGGCAGUUCUCUGAGGCAAAUAUAACAAUGGUUUUGAUGGUUGAAGACAGCAGAAAGAAGAAGGUUUCAACAUCUGCUGAUUAAUGCGUGAUCUGUGCAAUGAAUAGGAGAUAAUUAACUUUGUCUCCAUAAUUCUGCCUUUCUAUAACACUGCUCCCUAAGCUGACAUUCUUUUGGUGGUCCGGGAGGCUAUCUGGCUUGAAGCACCUAUUAUUUGGUGAAUAGUUAACCACUCUGUUUUUUUAUUCUGCUAAUGAUGUUCCAUAGCUUUUCCAAUACGAGUUAAAUGUAAUUUCAUUAAGAAGAUAUCAUAGAGGUCUGUUUAUUUUUUUGCAAAAUUUCUUCUAACAUGAUUCACUGCCUUUUUAUGG